rnacentral:lncRNA from 10 species
GGGGAAGUGAAACACCAGGAUAAGAUUUUUUCACAUCGUUAUUCUUCGUUGAGGAAGUAGGGGCAUAAGGCCGGGUGCGGUGGCUCACACCUGUAAUCCCAGCACUUUGGGAGGCCAAGGUGGGUGGAUCAUUUCAGCCCAGGAGUUUGAGAUCACCCUGCGCAAUGUGGCAAAACCCUGUCUCUACAAAAACUACAAAAGUUAGCUGGGCGUGGGGGUGCGUGCCUGUGGUCCCAGCCACUUAGGAGGCUGAGGUGGCAGGAUGGCUUGAACCUGGGAGGUGGAGGUUGCAGUGAGCCAAGAUCAUGCUGCUGCACUCCAGCCUGGGUGACAGAGUGAGACCCUGUCUAAAAAUAAAUAAAUAAAUAAAAAAUGGGGGCAGCAAACCAGAGACUAGAAACCAUUUCAUAUUUGACUAGAAAUAUGCAGCGAUGGUCGCUGAGGAAGGUCUGAUGAUGCUGGUACUUCUGCCUACACACACAAUACAGAGAACUAUAUUAAUCCACAUGUAAAAGUGAACCCUGUAAAUAUCUCUUGUCUGAAGUCCUAAGCCAAAAGGAAUUUUCUUGUAACCACUAAAGGAUUUUUCUUGUAAUCUUUUACAUUGACAUAAUUUUCUAGUAUUUAUUAAAUCCCCAUCUGCCAAUGGCAGAUCCACUUUUAAAGGAGAAAAGUACAAGAGGAAAAAUCUUUUCAGGAAAGUUACAUUAGGUAGUAAAAUUAAAGUAUUAAAAAUUAUAUAUAAAUUCUUCCAGCUCAUCACAUCCCAUAUAGAUGGCAAUCACAUAGUGUUCACAUUCUAUAAGUUGACCAUAGCUAAAGUAAACUGCAGGUGUCCUCUUUUUACAAAGAAAUGUUCUUCACAGAAGUGCAAUGUACAUAUUUGAUUUUCCUACACCAUUAGAAAUGAUUCUGCAAAGCAUUCUCAGAAGAAUUCUAUGCAUAUGGAUGAGACAGAAUGAGAAGAGUAUAAUAUGGGUAAAAAGUCAAUUAAAUAUAUUGAACACUGAAACCGUAUUAAUAGUUUGGGGUCAAAAUCGGAGCAGCUAUUGCGUGGAGUUUAUAAGGAACCGUCCUGGGUCCAAUCUCCCUCCAUAUUUUCUAUUAAUAGCUCUGAGGAUCCUAUGACAAAUGCACUAAUCAAUCCACAGAAAAUGCAGCUCUGGGAAACAUUGCUAAUGCUUUGGAUGACAAUAUUAAAAUUCAGGACGAUCUUGUUAAAUUGAAGAAAUGAGCCAAAAUCAAUAGAGCAGCACACGCAGUUCUGCCAGGUGUUCCACAUUGCAGGAUACAGGGAGCCCUCGAACGGAAAGGAAGACCAGCCUGGUAGGCGAAACUCCAGCUGGUAAAGCUAUCCAACUCCUGUUCUCCCUCUCCCUCCCUGACAGCCACAAGGAUAUCCAGACAGGUGUUUAGGGCUGUCAUCUACACAUGAUUUAACUCCACUGCCUACAGCUUCUCAACUCUUUCCCCCAGAGCCCAGCAGUGAGGGAAGAGAGAUGAUGAAUUUCCUUUAAUAUAAGUUGUAGGGCCCACACUGAUGAAUUUAGACUUUAGAACAUCACAUUAGAAGCAGAAAGAAAAAAAUUAGGAAACAACUAAAGAUUUCUAAGUAGGAGUAUAAUGACCUCUUCCUAAGGAGUGUCAUAAUAUCUUCCUGACAUUUAAAAACAUGGUCUCUAUUGAGAAAGGGGUAAGGGGAGAUGAAGAUGAGGGUUCUUUAACAACUCAUUUAGCUACCCAAACUCUGAGAAACCUGAGACUUUAAGAAACUUAAAUUCAUCUUUUCUUUCAGCUACAACCCUUAUCCAGAGUCAUCCUUAAUUACACUUACUUUCUUGUCCCCAGUUAGCAAGUCAAUAAACAAGCCCUGCCGCUUUCACCUUCUAAGCAGUUUUCUGACCUGCACUCUCUUCUCCAUCCUCUCCCCCGCUGUCCUAGCUGAAGUCUUCAUCAUUCUUUACCCAGACUGAUACAGAAGCCUUGGGGGGCCUCUCUGCUUCUCUAUUCCUUUAGAGCCCUCCUUCACAAUGUUGCCAAUGUGAUCCAGAAUGAAAACACAAAUCUAACCUUGAGUUUUCCCUGUUUAAACAUUUCCAAUACCCUCAGUGCUCACAGAAUGGGGUUUAGGUUUUCCAAGGUGGCAUGCAAAUUUCUGUGGUGGUUUUCUACCAGGAGCACCAUGAGCACGCAGUAUGCGGGGCAUUUCUACAUGUCUCAUUGGUAAGCACUGUGUGGGGGCAUUUCUAGAUGUCUCAGUGUCUGGGUGGCGCUACUGGCCCUUCAUGCCCAGGGCCUAGGGAUACUAAGCAUCCUGCAGUAAUCAAGACAACUCACACAAUGAACUGUCCCACCUGAAUUUCCAGAGGUAACACCAUUGGGAAAGGGUCCUCACCGUUCCUGCUCAUUUCUAUAUCCUUCUAGCUCACUUUUCUGCACUGCAGCUACAUAACUCUUCUUCCGCAACACAAGCCAUGCUUAUUUCUUGCAUUUAUACCUUAAUUCUUGCUCUAUGUGUCUUUAUUAAUUCUGAUACCUGGAAAGACUCAUCACUUUACUGAUUCAUAGUUUAAGCUUCUGCUCUGGUGUCAUUUCCCAAGAAGCAUCUAACGCACAUGGUCUGACUUAGAUGCUUCUUCCUGAUAAGGCAGUAGUGCUUUCUUAUUGUGAUAUGCUCUGUGCUCAGCAGUUUGCUUUAAAACCAUUAGUGUUCUCCUUUACUAAGGUUCAUUGGGCAGAAACUGUAGGCACUUAGUAGGCCUUAUAUAGACCUAUGAAUUUAAAGAAUGGAAGGAAGGAUGGAUGGAUGCAUGGAUGGAAGGAAGGAAGGAAGGAAGGUAGGAAGGAUGGAAGGAUGGAAGAAUGGAUGGGUGGAUGGGUGGGUGAAUGAAUGGUUGGGUGAGAGGAAAAACUUCUCUGAGGCUGUUUUAGUCCAGGUGCCCAUAAAAUAAUACAAGCAUUAUUUUAUAGCUCAGGCAACAGUUGAGGUCAAAGUUUCGGAUCAGGUCAUCUGUCUUUAGUUCCAGCAUUCUAUGAUGUACAAGUCACUCUAUAUCCCUCAUCUUCAGUCACUAAAUACCUCUAUAAAAUGUGCCAGGCAGCACCCUGCAAAGUAAUUCACUUACCCAUGUUGAGGAUUGUGGGCCACAAACAGCACUUUGACAGGCACUUCUGUCUGGCGAUUCUGUGUUCAGUUUGCUCAAGAACUCAGCGGUUUUGCUACCAGAAACACAAACAGGUGUUAGUGCCUUCACAAAAAUAUGAACAUAAUUCUUUAUUUUUCCUUUGGAUACUAACCUAGACUUAUUUGGGUGAUGAUUAAAAUUAUCUUCAGCAGAACAGAAAGUUACGUUGAGAACAAGGUGUAGCAGAAAUCAAAACAAAAUGCUAUUGCAAGAUUGCAUUCUUCAAGAACAAUAUUACAAAAUUAUAAAACUAGCUUUAUGAAAUGUGAGCUUAUGACCUCAUUUUUUCCACUUUAUAUUACUGACAUAAAUACAAGUCCUCUCCCAGAGCACAUUCCACAGCAUGCAGCCCUAAUUUCCUAUCUGAACAUUUAAUGCUUAACACUCAGACUUCAGGGUGGAGCUGUGGAACAUUCACGCCCUACAACAUCCUGCUUCACACCAGUUUUACAUUAAGCCCUUUACCCUCUCAUCUGCCUCAUGGCUUUGACCACUGUUAGGACACAGAGACCCUCUAAUCCAGUAGCUCUUUUCCAUUUAUGGAUCAU